CCUACGGGAGGCAGCAGUGAGGAAUAUUGGACAAUGGGCGCAAGCCUGAUCCAGCCAUGCCGCGUGCAGGAAGAAGCAUCUAUGGUGUGUAAACUGCUUUUGUACAGGAAGAAACACUCCCUCGUGAGGGAGCUUGACGGUACUGUAAGAAUAAGGACCGGCUAACUCCGUGCCAGCAGCCGCGGUAAUACGGAGGGUCCAAGCGUUAUCCGGAAUCAUUGGGUUUAAAGGGUCCGUAGGCGGUUUAAUAAGUCAGUGGUGAAAUCUGGUCGCUCAACGAUCAAACGGCCAUUGAUACUGUUAGACUUGAAUUAUAAGGAAGUAACUAGAAUAUGUAGUGUAGCGGUGAAAUGCUUAGAUAUUACAUGGAAUACCAAUUGCGAAGGCAGGUUACUACUUAUGGAUUGACGCUGAUGGACGAAAGCGUGGGGAGCGAACAGGAUUAGAUACCCUGGUAGUCCACGCCGUAAACGAUGGAUACUAGCUGUUCGGAGCAAUCUGAGUGGCUAAGCGAAAGUGAUAAGUAUCCACCUGGGGAGUAACGUUCGCAGAAUGAAACUUCAAAUUGAGUUGNGNGNGAGAGNGCGAGACGACGACGAGGAGGAGG
rnacentral:rRNA from 1 species